ACUCGACACACCCUGCACCCACUACUGAACCGGGACGCAACUCGCCGCCUGGACGGUACGGCAAGGCCUUGGGACAAAAAGCGCGUCUCGCUUUCGCACAUGCGCAAUCCGCAUAGAUGGGGGCACUGGCGAGCGUGGAUUUGAGCAUGCGCAGACGUCUGCGCGUGUGGCGGGCUCCUGAGACGGGCUUAAAGGAAGAGUUUGCCCUUGUGCAGAGGGGCCGAGGAAAGUACAGGGGAGCUAUGUGAACUUCUCUGCAGAAAAACUUUCGGGUCUUAUGUGUUCCAACUCCGUUGAAUGUUUUCCUGGAGACUCCACUGAGACAUGGUCUGCACUGUCCAUCACUGUGGCCCCCAGCCUUUGACCAGAUGUGGUACACGCAGAGGACCCUUGUGCCUUGCUGCUUGUGGCCUGUCAAGUCUGUGCCAUCGUCGUAAGUCAGUGCUGGGUCUGAACUCUGCUACCUUUGCAUGGAGCUCCUCAGCUAUUUAUUGUACUUAUUCUAUCCUUGGUGGAAUCAGGCCAUUCCUUUUCAUUCUUUUUUGGCUGUCUUUUAUAUUUUUAUUUUGUAUUGUGCUACCUGAAAAUGCUGUUUGUCAUAAAAAGGAGAAUCAUAGGGUAGAACACAGCCAUAGGCCCUAUAAGCCUGUUGUUCAAACCAGCCUCAGAGACCAGUGAGUUUGAAGUUCUCACCAGAUGGCCAUCCAUUUGAACAAACAUCACUGUGGGUCACCAAUAAAACUGAGUGAGGCACUCCUUCCAUCUUGAUUUUUGGUCUUGAGAAUUUGCCUUUAAUUUAGAGAGGGGGCUCACUCUAAUUUUCUACCUGCUGCGGGGGCACAGAUUGUCAGGUCUGUGUUUGGAGGGGCCAACCCUCAGGUGGGAGGCCUGAGACACAAAGAGCAUAAGCAUCACUUUCAACCAACCAUUGCCAGCUCUCCUGGGUUUGUCUAAGCCUAAAUCCACUUCCCCACCAGAAAAAACUGCUGCUUCUUAUAUGUGGUGUCAUUACAACCCUACUUCUGGUGGCUGUCUCUCUUAGUGGCAUAACUUUCAGCAAUGAGGAUCUGGGCCUUCCGUGGCCACGCUGCGGGACAUUUGACUUGGAUAAAUUUGGUGUUGAUAGGCAACCUAGAAAAGAAGGGGAAUUAAGAUUUCUCAGGUCAAUGGACUGCAGUUUUUAACUCGUAUGCAGAAGCCUCCCAAAGAAAUUCUGGUUCAAAAUUUAUUUCACUUAAACAUUCUUUGACGAAAGCUCGUGAGCAAUUUGACAAACUUAGGCAACAAGAAACUAGACUCAUUUCCUAGUAAAUCCUUCCUGUCCUUGUCUUCCAGUGGCCUCCCUAUAUCCAAUACCCCUCUACUUCUUUACCCUUCUCAUCUCUGUCUUUCCUCGCUUCUGUCAACUAUGCCAUUCUCUUCCUCUUGAGCAGACCCCCCCCACCAUGUUUGCCCAACAGCCUCCUAACGCCACAAAAUAUCACAUGCCUCUGAAGAUCCAUAUCUUAUGAGCCAGAUAAGCAGGCAAGUGUAGAAUUUAAACUUUGGAUGAUGAAUUAAGGUGAAUUAAGAGCUAUAGUUAAAGACCUCCGUACAAGACCCCCAACAAAACCAGCAACUAUUCCUAGAAGAAUUUACAAUGCUUUUGGGUACAUAUGAUUCAGGGCUACCUAACCUACAUCAGCUUGUAUACAUGUUGGUCAGAACCUCAGAUGCUAAAUCUUGGAUAACAAAAACUAAUUGGAUUGACGCAGCAAGGGGUCUACAGGCUCUCUUUUAUCCACAAUAAAUCUAGGGUUUAAAAAAAUCCUGAAAAGUAGGGCAAAGCCUCUUACAAGCCAUACCCCUAAACAUUUCCAAUAAAAAUUAAUCAGACUAUAAUUUAAUCAUGAAACCAAGAAAAAAGGUAAAAGUAUAAGAUAUUUUUUUUUGUGCUAGACUAGAUAAUACCUCUGACAACAUUCAGGAGUUAAUAAAGGUGUCAGUGUAAAAGCAGCCCUUUUAUCUCAUUCUGUCAAUGGAGUUAAGCCUGAAACUGAAGCCUAAUUCAAAAAUAGAAAUUAGAAUAGGAAAUAGCACCUUUGCCUAAACACCUGUUGGUAUAUUUUAAAAAGGGUUUAGAAUCAAAAUGAGACAGAGUCUAAAAUAAACUAUGAUCUUGCCGAACCAACAGCUAGGUGAUACACCUUCCAAGCAACCAUUUUUGACAAGGACGCUGUAGACAGUAUAAAUAGAAGGGACACUGGCAAAACAGAAUGUCCUAUCUCAUAAAAGAAAACCAGGGACAAAGGAAAACCCUCAAUCCUGAUCAAAAAGGGUACUCUAAAGAAGAAAAAAGCUCCCAAUAUCCUGACUUACCCUUAAAUGCCCAAGUUGAAUAAAUACAGUUGGUAAACCUACUCAAUUCCUGGUAGAUAGGUGCUGCUCUUACUACAUUAAACUCCUCACUUGCUCAAAGUCUUUCUCAGACUAAACACGUGCACAAUUCUUUCAGACAGAAAUACAGAUAGGUCUUUCAGACAACCCACAGACUUUUCCUAACUCCCAGCUCUUAACUGUAGCACUUACUCUCUUGAAUGAAAAGCACUCCUUUCUGCUCUGUGAUAGCACCCCUGCGAAUCUGAUAAGGAGAGACUUACUCCACAGAUGUAAUUGUAAUAUUAAAUGCUCAACAGAGGAACUGUUAAAGUUCCAGAGCACUCUUCUAUUCAUAAUCAAAUUGUGUCUGUCAAGAUAUACCUUUGCCCUCCUCAGUAUAAUUUAUGCAUACUCCAGAUAAAGUUCUUGCCAUCAUACCUGACAUUCUAUGACCUUCAAAGUCCACUGACACAGAAAAAAUAAUUGGAGCAGAAUGCAGAAAGUUCUACUUACCAAACAGGGAAGGGUUAUCAUUUUUUUUCAAGACCUAAGGACAAUCAAUAAAAUGUUUGUCCCUUGCUUCCCAGUAGUACCUAACCCAAAUAUCAUUUUGGCAUAAUUCUACCUAAAGUUAAGUUGCUUCAAAAUAGUUAAUCUUUGCUUUGCCUUUUUCAAUGUGCCAGUCCAGGAUAGCACAUUGUAUUCAGUCAUCAUGUCUCCUUCAUUUCCUUCAGUCUAUUAUAAUGUCUCAGUUUAUUCCUGUUUUCCAUGACUGUGACAAUUUUGAGGAAUACUGGUCAGACAUUUUCUAGAAUGUUCCUCACCUGUAGUUUGAUAUUUUCUCAUGGUUAGACUAGGGUUAUUGGUUUUGGAGAAUCCCAUAGAGAUGCAGUGCCCUUCUCAUAUCAGUUGUACAUGACAUUCAAAUGAUUUAAUCACUUGUGGUAUCCUAGAUUGGAUCUUGAAGUGGAAAGAAGAUAUUAAUUAGAAAACUAGAGAAAGCCAAAUAAAGUCUGAAGUGUGGUCAAGAGUAUGUGUCAAGUUGGCUUCUUAGUUUUGACAAAUGUAUUAUGGUAUCAUUAGGGGAACCUGGGUGAACAUAUGAGAACCUUCUGUUUUAUCUCUGUAAUUCUAAAAUUAUUCCAAAAUUACAAAAAAGUUUACUUUUAAAAAAUAAAAGAGACAUUUUCAGAUGAAAACAGAGAAUUCUCACCAAUAGGAUACCAUAAAAGGGAGCCCUAAAGGGUAUUCUUAAGGCAAAAGGAAACUGGUUUCAGGUGGAAUAUCAAAUGCAAAAAGGGGUAAAAAGCAACAAAAAUGGCAAGUUAUUGUGGUAAAUGUAGGUUAAUAUUGUCUAUAUAAAAAAACUACAGUAAUGGGUUGAGGGGUUUAUAUAUGUAUAGAGUCAAAGUACAUGAUUGGCAUUUAAUUAUAGAGGGACUUAGUAAAUAGAGUUAAGUUUUAUAAAGGCUUUGUACUCAUAGAGUGGCCCAUGGAGGUUAUUAGAAGGCAGAAUCAUGGACUUCUUCUCAGACUUACUAAAUCAGAAUUCCUAUUUUAACAGGGUCCUCUGUUGUGGGAGAUAAACUUAGGAAUCCCCCGGGGUUACACCAGUGGGUUGACAAGUCAUAAAGAAAUACAAAGUCAUAAAAUGUUCACACCCAAGCUUGGGUAAACCAGAUUGACACUCCAAGAAUAGCGGUGUGCAAAGACACCCUGAGAAUAGGGAGGCACAAAGGUGCCAGGAAUAGGGAGGUGCAAAGGCACCCCAAAAUAGACAGAGAGAGGCAAAAGCCUGAAAUAGAAACAGUGCAAAGGUGCCCAAUACAUAGAAAUAACAAGAUUAAAUAUUCAGGGUGAAAGCACCCCAAAUUUAGUACUAUAGCAGAAAAGCUCCUUUCAUAGGAGAAUAGGGCCAGGUUAGGUAAAUUGGUGAAUUGGACUGUGGACCACUGCGCUGCAGGCAAAGCAGCCCAGAGGAGAAAUGGUUAACAAAAGAAAAGGUGCCUUGUCAACCCUGAGGUUAUUUCCCCUACCUGUCUCAUCCCUGAGGCUAGCUAAGGUAAACAUAGGUGCUGCCUCAUGUCCGAUGUAAACAACGCUCCUCCCAACUGCCUGGCGCCCGGAUUUUGUUUUGUAUUAACCCAAACCCCUAACCACAAAUAUCCUCAAGACCCCCUUUCCCUCACGACCACAAGUUAAUGUUCACAGAUUCAUUGUCCCUUUGUGCGUGUCCGUCACCAUGUUUGUAAGCCUUCUGAUCCUAAUAAAAACAGGCAAGGACCCUUAUUCAGGGCUUGUCUUUUCCCAGACACUAGCCAUCUCUCACUUUAAUCCUGCGUCUGCUCCUUUGCUGGCCAAAAGAGAACUUUAGACAUAGAGUCUAUGACACUCUGUGAUUUAUAUACACAUUAAAAUUUGGGAAAUUCUGUUCCAAAGGCACUUCUAUUGUCUCAAAAGAGAGUAAAAGUACCAACUGACAUUAGAUUUUUGUAAAUAUAGAAUUUAUUUUGUAAUCUCCAGGAUAACCAAUAGAGAAAUAGUAAAAGAUUAUAUAAUUUCCAAACUAAUACAAGGGAAAAGAGGAUUAAUAAAAAUUAUCAGUUCAAAAUGAGGUAGGAAAGAGAGAAAAAGAAAUGAGUAGGACACGUAGAAAUCAGUAUUAAAUAUGAGUGAGCUGAAUAUUCCUUUUAGAAGAUGAUGAUUAUCAGACUAGAUUUUUAAUGACAAAAACAAUUACAUGCUCUUUGCUGAGAAUGCAUCUAAAACAAAAAGCUAUGAAAAGAUUAAAAGUUGAAAGAAAAAGAAUGGGAAAAGAUAUAACAUGCAAAUAUUAACAAAAAGAAAGUAAGCACAGAUUAUUAAUAUUAGACAAAGUAGACUUUAAGACAAAUGGCAUAAAAAGGAAUACUUCAUAAAGAUAAAAGAUCCAAAUCACCUAGAAGGUAGAAUAAUUCUAAAUUUGUAUAUACUUAAUAACAUAGUUUCAAAACACAUAAAGUCAAAACUGUCAAAAGGAAAAAUAGACAAUUUUACAGAAAUACUGAGAUGUUAUAGAACAGUUUUUAAGAACCAAUAGAACAAGUUAGCCCAAAAAUUGGUAAAGAUACAGAAACACUAUGUUUAGUAAUUUGACCUAAUGUACAUUCAUAGAAUGCCGUACCCAACUGGAAAUCACACAUUCUUUUCAAGCUCACAUGGAACAUUUACCAGAAUUGACUGAGUCCUGGGUCAUGAAACAAGUCACAACAACUUUCAAAGCUGUGAAAUCAUGCUCUGACAUGAUGCAACUAAGCUAAGAAUCAAUAACAAAAACAAGAUUUAUUUGGAAAUGAAGCAUAAUCCAUACAUGAAAGAAAAUAUUACAGUAGAAGUUAGAAAGUAUUUUGAACUCAAUGGUAAUAAAAAUACCACAUAUCAAGACUUACAGGAAACACCUAAAACCAUACUUAGGAGGAAACUUUAAAAGUACAUAGUAGGAGGCACCUGGGUGGCUCAGUCAGUUAAGCUACUGAGUCUUGAUUUCAGCUUAAGUCAUGAUCUCACGGUCAUGGGAUCGAGCUCCCAUUGGACUCCACUCUGAUUGUGGAGCCUGCUUGAUAUUCUCUCUCUUCCUCUUUCUCUCUGCCCCUCCCCUACUUGUACACACACACACUCUCCCUCUCCCUCUCUCUCUCUC